AACUAAGACAAUCUGGCAUUCAAUUGUAGUGGUUCUGGUAUGUAACUGUGUAGCCUGCUCUGAUAGAGGCUCGGACUGAGGAAAUCUUGUCUCUGAAGAUCGCAAAUGCUUCACACUUAUCCUGAGAAAAGAUGGUGGGGUUAUGCAUGCAUGCUUGUUUGCAGAGCCUUUCUACUGUGCGAAACAGUUGCCUGGGUAUAUUGUGGGAGAGUGCAAUUUUG